UCGAGCGGGGUGAUUUAGCUUGCUACAUUACCUAGCGGCGGACGGGUGAGUAAUGCUUAGGAAUCUGCCUAUUAGUGGGGGACAACAUUCCGAAAGGAAUGCUAAUACCGCAUACGCCCUACGGGGGAAAGCAGGGGAUCUUCGGACCUUGCGCUAAUAGAUGAGCCUAAGUCAGAUUAGCUAGUUGGUGGGGUAAAGGCCUACCAAGGCGACGAUCUGUAGCGGGUCUGAGAGGAUGAUCCGCCACACUGGGACUGAGACACGGCCCAGACUCCUACGGGAGGCAGCAGUGGGGAAUAUUGGACAAUGGGCGAAAGCCUGAUCCAGCCAUGCCGCGUGUGUGAAGAAGGCCUUUUGGUUGUAAAGCACUUUAAGCGAGGAGGAGGCUACUUGGAUUAAU
rnacentral:rRNA from 1 species